rnacentral:rRNA from 1 species
UUUGGUUAAGUUAGAAAGGGCGCACGGUGGAUGCCUUGACACUAGGAGUCGAUGAAGGACGGGACUAACGCCGAUAUGCUUCGGGGAGCUGUAAGUAAGCUUUGAUCCGAAGAUUUCCGAAUGGGGAAACCCACCAUACGUAAUGGUAUGGUAUCCUUAUCUGAAUACAUAGGGUAAGGAAGACAGACCCAGGGAACUGAAACAUCUAAGUACCUGGAGGAAGAGAAAGCAAAUGCGAUUUCCUGAGUAGCGGCGAGCGAAACGGAACAUAGCCCAAACCAAGAGGCUUGCCUCUUGGGGUUGUAGGACAUUCUAUACGGAGUUACAAAGGAACGAGGUAGACGAAGCGACCUGGAAAGGUCCGUCGUAGAGGGUAACAACCCCGUAGUCGAAACUUCGUUCUCUCUUGAAUGUAUCCUGAGUACGGCGGAACACGUGAAAUUCCGUCGGAAUCUGGGAGGACCAUCUCCCAAGGCUAAAUACUCCCUAGUGAUCGAUAGUGAACCAGUACCGUGAGGGAAAGGUGAAAAGCACCCCGGAAGGGGAGUGAAAGAGAUCCUGAAACCGUGUGCCUACAAAUAGUCAGAGCCCGUUAAUGGGUGAUGGCGUGCCUUUUGUAGAAUGAACCGGCGAGUUACGAUCCCGUGCGAGGUUAAGCUGAAGAGGCGGAGCCGCAGCGAAAGCGAGUCUGAAUAGGGCGUUUAGUACGUGGUCGUAGACCCGAAACCAGGUGAUCUACCCAUGUCCAGGGUGAAGUUCAGGUAACACUGAAUGGAGGCCCGAACCCACGCACGUUGAAAAGUGCGGGGAUGAGGUGUGGGUAGCGGAGAAAUUCCAAUCGAACCUGGAGAUAGCUGGUUCUCCCCGAAAUAGCUUUAGGGCUAGCCUUAAGUGUAAGAGUCUUGGAGGUAGAGCACUGAUUGGACUAGGGGUCCUCAUCGGAUUACCGAAUUCAGUCAAACUCCGAAUGCCAAUGACUUAUCCUUAGGAGUCAGACUGCGAGUGAUAAGAUCCGUAGUCAAAAGGGAAACAGCCCAGACCGCCAGCUAAGGUCCCAAAGUGUGUAUUAAGUGGAAAAGGAUGUGGAGUUGCUUAGACAACUAGGAUGUUGGCUUAGAAGCAGCCACCAUUUAAAGAGUGCGUAAUAGCUCACUAGUCGAGUGACUCUGCGCCGAAAAUGUACCGGGGCUAAAUACACCACCGAAGCUGCGGAUUGAUACCAAUGGUAUCAGUGGUAGGGGAGCGUUCUAAGGACAGUGAAGUCAGACCGUAAGGACUGGUGGAGUGCUUAGAAGUGAGAAUGCCGGUAUGAGUAGCGAAAGACGGGUGAGAAUCCCGUCCACCGAAUGCCUAAGGUUUCCUGAGGAAGGCUCGUCCGCUCAGGGUUAGUCAGGACCUAAGCCGAGGCCGACAGGCGUAGGCGAUGGACAACAGGUUGAUAUUCCUGUACCACCUCUUUAUCGUUUGAGCAAUGGAGGGACGCAGAAGGAUAGAAGAAGCGUGCGAUUGGUUGUGCACGUCCAAGCAGUUAGGCUGAUAAGUAGGCAAAUCCGCUUAUCGUGAAGGCUGAGCUGUGAUGGGGAAGCUCCUUAUGGAGCGAAGUCUUUGAUUCCCCGCUGCCAAGAAAAGCUUCUAGCGAGAUAAAAGGUGCCUGUACCGCAAACCGACACAGGUAGGCGAGGAGAGAAUCCUAAGGUGUGCGAGAGAACUCUGGUUAAGGAACUCGGCAAAAUGACCCCGUAACUUCGGGAGAAGGGGUGCUUUCUUAACGGAAAGCCGCAGUGAAUAGGCCCAAGCGACUGUUUAGCAAAAACACAGCUCUCUGCGAAGCCGUAAGGCGAAGUAUAGGGGGUGACACCUGCCCGGUGCUGGAAGGUUAAGGAGAGGGGUUAGCGUAAGCGAAGCUCUGAACUGAAGCCCCAGUAAACGGCGGCCGUAACUAUAACGGUCCUAAGGUAGCGAAAUUCCUUGUCGGGUAAGUUCCGACCCGCACGAAAGGUGUAACGAUUUGGGCACUGUCUCAACCAGAGACUCGGUGAAAUUAUAGUACCUGUGAAGAUGCAGGUUACCCGCGACAGGACGGAAAGACCCCGUGGAGCUUUACUGUAGCCUGAUAUUGAAUUUUGGUACAUUUUGUACAGGAUAGGCGGGAGCCUUUGAAACCGG